UACGGGGGGGGCAAGCGUUGUUCGGAAUUACUGGGCGUAAAGGGCUCGUAGGUGGCCAACUAAGUCAGACGUGAAAUCCCUCGGCUUAACCGGGGAACUGCGUCUGAUACUGGAUGGCUCGAGUUUGGGAGAGGGAUGCGGAAUUCCAGGUGUAGCGGUGAAAUGCGUAGAUAUCUGGAGGAACACCGGUGGCGAAGGCGGCAUCCUGGACCAACACUGACGCUGAGUGAGCGAAAGCCAGGGGAGCAAACGGG
rnacentral:rRNA from 1 species